AUUGAACGCUGGCGGCAUGCUUUACACAUGCAAGUCGAACGGCAGCGCGGGCUUCGGCCUGGCGGCGAGUGGCGAACGGGUGAGUAAUACAUCGGAACGUGCCCAGUAGUGGGGGAUAGCUCGGCGAAAGCCGGAUUAAUACCGCAUACGACCUGAGGGUGAAAGCGGGGGAUCUUCGGACCUCGCGCUAUUGGAGCGGCCGAUGGCAGAUUAGCUAGUUGGUGGGGUAAAGGCCUACCAAGGCGACGAUCUGUAGCUGGUCUGAGAGGACGACCAGCCACACUGGGACUGAGACACGGCCCAGACUCCUACGGGAGGCAGCAGUGGGGAAUUUUGGACAAUGGGCGAAAGCCUGAUCCAGCAAUGCCGCGUGUGUGAUGAAGGCCUUCGGGUUGUAAAGCACUUUUGGCGGGAACGAAAAGGACUGUGCCAAUACCACGGCUCGAUGACGGUACCUGCAGAAUAAGCACCGGCUAACUACGU
rnacentral:rRNA from 1 species